rnacentral:rRNA from 1 species
AUUGAACGCUGGCGGCAUGCCUAACACAUGCAAGUCGAACGGGGCAGCAAUGCCUAGUGGCGGACGGGUGAGGAAUACGUAGGAAUCUGCCCUUAAGUGGGGGAUAACCAGGGGAAACCCUGACUAAUACCGCAUGAUCUCUUCGGAGCAAAGAGGGGGACCGCAAGGCCUCUCGCUUCUGGAUGAGCCUACGUCUGAUUAGCUAGUUGGUGGGGUAAAAGCCUACCAAGGCGACGAUCCGUAGCUGGUCUGAGAGGAUGACCAGCCACACUGGGACUGAGACACGGCCCAGACUCCUACGGGAGGCAGCAGUGGGGAAUAUUGGACAAUGGGCGCAAGCCUGAUCCAGCCAUGCCGCGUGGGUGAAGAAGGCCUUAGGGUUGUAAACCCCUUUCAGCGGGGAAGAUAAUGACGGUACCCGCAGAAGAAGCCCCGGCUAACUCCGUGCCAGCAGCCGCCGUAAGAC